rnacentral:rRNA from 1 species
UACGUAGGGUGCAAGCGUUGUCCGGAAUUAUUGGGCGUAAAGGGUGCGUAGGCGGGUUUUUAAGUCAGGGGUGAAAUCCUGGAGCUCAACUCCAGAACUGCCUUUGAUACUGAGGAUCUUGAGUUCGGGAGAGGUGAGUGGAACUGCGAGUGUAGAGGUGAAAUUCGUAGAUAUUCGCAAGAACACCAGUGGCGAAGGCGGCUCACUGGCCCGAUACUGACGCUGAGGCACGAAAGCGUGGGGAGCAAACAGGGA